rnacentral:rRNA from 1 species
AGUCGAGGGGCAUCGGGGCUAGGAGCUAUCCUUGCCGCCGGCGACCGGCGCACGGGUGAGUAACGCGUAUGCGACCUGCCCGUUGCAGGGGGAUAAUCCGGAGAAAUCCGGUCUAAUACCGCAUAAUAUCGUGAAUCUGCAUGGAUUUGCGAUUAAAGGAGCGAUCCGGUGACGGAUGGGCAUGCGUGACAUUAGCUAGUCGGCGGGGUAACGGCCCACCGAGGCGACGAUGUCUAGGGGUUCUGAGAGGAAGGUCCCCCACACUGGUACUGAGACACGGACCAGACUCCUACGGGAGGCAGCAGUGAGGAAUAUUGGUCAAUGGGCUUACGCCUGAACCAGCCAAGUCGCGUGAGGGAAGACUGCCCUAUGGGUUGUAAACCUCUUUUGUCAGGGAGCAACGCCGGCUACGUGUAGCCGGACUGAGAGUACCUGAAGAAAAAGCAUCGGCUAACUCCGUGCCAGCAGCCGCGGUAAUACGGAGGAUGCGAGCGUUAUCCGGAUUUAUUGGGUUUAAAGGGUGCGUAGGCGGAAUGCCAAGUCAGCGGUAAAAUCGCGGGGCUCAACCUCGCUCCGCCGUUGAAACUGGCGUUCUUGAGUGGGCGAGAAGUAUGCGGAAUGCGUGGUGUAGCGGUGAAAUGCAUAGAUAUCACGCAGAACUCCGAUUGCGAAGGCAGCUUACCGGCGCCCAACUGACGCUGAAGCACGAAAGCGUGGGUAUCGAACAGGAUUAGAUACCCUGGUAGUCCACGCAGUAAACGAUGAAUACUAGCUGUUCGGGGCAAAUGGGCCUUGAGUGGCACAGCGAAAGCGU